rnacentral:rRNA from 1 species
CAGGCUUAACACAUGCAAGUCGAGGGGCAGCAUGGUCUUAGCUUGCUAAGGCCGAUGGCGACCGGCGCACGGGUGAGUAACACGUAUCCAACCUGCCGUCUACUCUUGGACAGCCUUCUGAAAGGAAGAUUAAUACAAGAUGGCAUCAUGAGUCCGCAUGUUCACAUGAUUAAAGGUAUUCCGGUAGACGAUGGGGAUGCGUUCCAUUAGAUAGUAGGCGGGGUAACGGCCCACCUAGUCUUCGAUGGAUAGGGGUUCUGAGAGGAAGGUCCCCCACAUUGGAACUGAGACACGGUCCAAACUCCUACGGGAGGCAGCAGUGAGGAAUAUUGGUCAAUGGGCGAGAGCCUGAACCAGCCAAGUAGCGUGAAGGAUGACUGCCCUAUGGGUUGUAAACUUCUUUUAUAAAGGAAUAAAGUCGGGUAUGGAUACCCGUUUGCAUGUACUUUAUGAAUAAGGAUCGGCUAACUCCGUGCCAGCAGCCGCGGUAAUACGGAGGAUCCGAGCGUUAUCCGGAUUUAUUGGGUUUAAAGGGAGCGUAGAUGGAUGUUUAAGUCAGUUGUGAAAGUUUGCGGCUCAACCGUAAAAUUGCAGUUGAUACUGGAUAUCUUGAGUGCAGUUGAGGCAGGCGGAAUUCGUGGUGUAGCGGUGAAAUGCUUAGAUAUCACGAAGAACUCCGAUUGCGAAGGCAGCCUGCUAAGCUGCAACUGACAUUGAGGCUCGAAAGUGUGGGUAUCAAACAGGAUUAGAUACCCUGGUAGUCCACACGGUAAACGAUGAAUACUCGCUGUUUGCGAUAUACCGCAAGCGGCCAAGCGAAAGCGUUAAGUAUUCCACCUGGGGAGUACGCCGGCAACGGUGAAACUCAAAGGAAUUGACGGGGGCCCGCACAAGCGGAGGAACAUGUGGUUUAAUUCGAUGAUACGCGAGGAACCUUACCCGGGCUUAAAUUGCAGAUGAAUUACGGUGAAAGCCGUAAGCCGCAAGGCAUCUGUGAAGGUGCUGCAUGGUUGUCGUCAGCUCGUGCCGUGAGGUGUCGGCUUAAGUGCCAUAACGAGCGCAACCCUUGUUGUCAGUUACUAACAGGUUCCGCUGAGGACUCUGACAAGACUGCCAUCGUAAGAUGUGAGGAAGGUGGGGAUGACGUCAAAUCAGCACGGCCCUUACGUCCGGGGCUACACACGUGUUACAAUGGGGGGUACAGAGGGCCGCUACCACGCGAGUGGAUGCCAAUCCCCAAAACCUCUCUCAGUUCGGACUGGAGUCUGCAACCCGACUCCACGAAGCUGGAUUCGCUAGUAAUCGCGCAUCAGCCACGGCGCGGUGAAUACGUUCCCGGGCCUUGUACACACCGCCCGUCAAGCCAUGGGGGCCGGGGGUACCUGAAGUGCGUAACCGCGAGGAGCGCCCUAGGGUAAAACUGGUGACUGGGG